rnacentral:tRNA from 2 species
GGGCCAGUAGCUUAGCCUGGUGGAGCACCCGGCUCAUAACCGGGUGGUCGUCGGUUCGAAUCCGGCCUGGCCCA